CGUAAUACUGACCGCCCGCGCAACUUUGACAGGUCGAGGAACUUCGAGAGGAGGCGGGAAAACAUGCAGAACUUCCAGAAUCGUGACGUACCUCCUCCCAUGCCCCCUCGUGAUGGCCCCCCUAUGCCAAAUACACAGAACACCAUGCCUCCUCCGCCACCCAACCGCGACUUCAACGCCAUGCCACCCCCUCCGCCGCCCAACCGCGACUUCAACGCCAUGCCGCCCCCUCCGCCGCCCAACCGCGACUUCAACGCCAUGCCGCCCCCUCCGCCGCCGAACAUGCCUAACCAAAAUGGUUAUCAAGGCAGCAGUCCGGGCUAUCAAGCCGGCACG
rnacentral:lncRNA from 1 species